CAAGUGAAGAAGCGCAUACGGUGGAUGCCUUGGCAGUCAGAGGCGAUGAAAGACGUGGUAGCCUGCGAAAAGCUUCGGGGAGUCGGCAAACAGACUUUGAUCCGGAGAUGUCUGAAUGGGGGAACCCAGCCAUCAUAAGAUGGUUAUCUUGUACUGAAUACAUAGGUGCAAGAGGCGAACCAGGGGAACUGAAACAUCUAAGUACCCUGAGGAAAAGAAAUCAACCGAGAUUCCCUUAGUAGUGGCGAGCGAACGGGGACUAGCCCUUAAGUGGCUUUGAGAUUAGCGGAACGCUCUGGAAAGUGCGGCCAUAGUGGGUGAUAGCCCUGUACGCGAAAAUCUCUUAGUCAUGAAAUCGAGUAGGACGGAGCACGAGAAACUUUGUCUGAAUAUGGGGGGACCAUCCUCCAAGGCUAAAUACUACUGACUGACCGAUAGUGAACUAGUACCGUGAGGGAAAGGCGAAAAGAACCCCGGAGAGGGGAGUGAAAUAGAUCCUGAAACCGUAUGCGUACAAGCAGUGGGAGCAGACUUUGUUCUGUGACUGCGUACCUUUUGUAUAAUGGGUCAGCGACUUAUAUUCAGUGGCGAGCUUAACCGAAUAGGGGAGGCGUAGCGAAAGCGAGUCUUAAUAGGGCGUUUAGUCGCUGGGUAUAGACCCGAAACCGGGCGAUCUAUCCAUGGGCAGGUUGAAGGUUAGGUAACACUGACUGGAGGACCGAACCGACUACCGUUGAAAAGUUAGCGGAUGACCUGUGGAUCGGAGUGAAAGGCUAAUCAAGCUCGGAGAUAGCUGGUUCUCCUCGAAAGCUAUUUAGGUAGCGCCUCAUGUAUCACUGUAGGGGGUAGAGCACUGUUUCGGCUAGGGGGUCAUCCCGACUUACCAAACCGAUGCAAACUCCGAAUACCUACAAGUGCCGAGCAUGGGAGACACACGGCGGGUGCUAACGUCCGUCGUGAAAAGGGAAACAACCCAGACCGUCAGCUAAGGUCCCAAAGUUAUGGUUAAGUGGGAAACGAUGUGGGAAGGCUUAGACAGCUAGGAGGUUGGCUUAGAAGCAGCCACCCUUUAAAGAAAGCGUAAUAGCUCACUAGUCGAGUCGGCCUGCGCGGAAGAUGUAACGGGGCUCAAACCAUACACCGAAGCUACGGGUAUCACGUAAGUGAUGCGGUAGAGGAGCGUUCUGUAAGCCUGUGAAGGUGAGUUGAGAAGCUUGCUGGAGGUAUCAGAAGUGCGAAUGCUGACAUGAGUAACGACAAUGGGUGUGAAAAAC
rnacentral:rRNA from 2 species